AGUAGCUCUGCAGCAGAAAACCUGUAUGCUGAACAGCAGAAAGAAGUAAGAUGAGGCAUGGGGGUAGGAGGGUGAUCAGAACAGUAGCUGCUGAUAAAGAAAUGUGCUGACAAUUCAUAACAAUGGGUUACUGCUUCAGUUCUCAGAUUUCCUAGAGUAAAUGGGCAGUUGCUUAUUAUUUUGACAUCACAAGCAGCUGUUGCUAUUUCUUUUUAAAAAAAAGGAAGAACAGCAAGUGUGUGGAAUAUUGUUUACUGUUAAUCAAGACAUCUUAACCAAAGUUUUCACAAUACUUGAAGCUACAUUUAAUUAUACAAUAGUCUCAAUCACAGAAAACAAGCAGAACAAUAAAACUACAUAAGGCCUUGAGAUUAGAAGCACAGUGUGUAUUGUUGGAAUAUUACUUUGUUUACAAAUAGGCUACAUAUAAUUAAGUUUAUUUUUCAUAGUUUUAUUCAAGCAAAAUGCAUUCAAGGAAAAGGCAACUUACAAAGUUUAUUUUACUAUGAGUUAAUAGAAAAAUGUCAACAUUCUCUUCUUGCCCCUCCCCCCACCCCAUCCAGGCACGAUUAGUAAAAUUUCCAUACAAUACUCAAAAAACAAUAAGCUUUUACACUAAAUAUUCAAAAGUAAGCCUGAUCAGAUAACUGCAAACUUGCAAAUUGUUUAUUACAAAGUUGGAUAAACUUCCAGGUUCCUUCUAAUGAAAUACUGCAUCUCUAUGCAAUCAAUGUUUAAAACUACAUUGUCCACAAAGCCUUCUAGGUUCUAAAAGUCUUACUGGUUUCAAUGAAGUACUUAGUGGCCUCGGUAGCAAUCAUGUGAAUGAUAUUUACAUUACAAGAAUGGUAACUUGCAGCAUUAUUUUGGCAAGAUUAGGACUGCUGAGAAGAUGAAUGGGUAAAUUUGUUUAACCUGAAAGGUAAGGGACAACACAAGAACAAAACAACUAAAGUGAAACUAAGCACAAAAGAUAUGAAAAAUAUGGGAAAAGAUAUCUAUUUUGACCCUCUCCCCCUAUAACAGGGCAUGGGUCAUUUCCAGUGACUGUCUAUUCUUAUUACAUACAUUAGUAUUUGCUCAAAUUUCAUGGCUAUUACAUUUUUACAGAACAGCUGCUUAGAAGUCUGGUUUUUAAUUUACACCUGUGCAACAGAGUAAGUCACAGUACAUUUUGAGAUGUUUAAAAAAUAUUUAUAAACUUGUUUUUCAUAUGCUAAAGCAUUUGGCAACACUUUUACAGCAUUUGAUUUUAUAUAAUUAAAAUUUCAUACAGUACUCCUUGUGAUUUUUUUUUUUUUUUAACAUCUAA